CAGUCGAACGGACUCAUAUUGAAACCUAGUGAUUUAUGAGUUAGUGGCGGACGGGUGAGUAACGCGUGGAUAACCUGCCGUAUACCGGGGGAUAACACUUAGAAAUAGGUGCUAAUACCGCAUAAGCGCACGGCUCCGCAUGGGGCAGUGUGAAAAACUCCGGUGGUAUACGAUGGAUCCGCGUCUGAUUAGCUAGUUGGCGGGGUAACGGCCCACCAAGGCAGCGAUCAGUAGCCGGCCUGAGAGGGUGGACGGCCACAUUGGGACUGAGACACGGCCCAAACUCCUACGGGAGGCAGCAGUGGGGAAUAUUGCACAAUGGGGGAAACCCUGAUGCAGCGACGCCGCGUGAGUGAAGAAGUAUCUCGGUACGUAAAGCUCUAUCAGCAGGGAAGAAAAUGACGGUACCUGACUAAGAAGCCCCGGCUAACUACGUGCCAGCAGCCGCGGUAAUACGUAGGGGGCAAGCGUUAUCCGGAUUUACUGGGUGUAAAGGGAGCGUAGACGGCAGCACAAGUCUGGAGUGAAAUCCCGGGGCUUAACCCCGGAACUGCUUUGGAAACUGUGCGGCUGGAGUGCAGGAGGGGUAAGCGGAAUUCCUAGUGUAGCGGUGAAAUGCGUAGAUAUUAGGAGGAACACCGGUGGCGAAGGCGGCUUACUGGACUGUAACUGACGUUGAGGCUCGAAAGCGUGGGGAGCAAACAGGAUUAGAUACCCUGGUAGUCCACGCCGUAAACGAUGAUUACUAGGUGUCGGGGGACCAAGGUCCUCCGGUGCCGGCGCAAACG
rnacentral:rRNA from 1 species